GCCUAAUACAUGCAAGUCGAGCGGACUUGACAGAGCUUGCUCUGUUCAAGUUAGCGGCGGACGGGUGAGUAACACGUGGGUAACCUGCCUGUAAGACUGGGAUAACUCCGGGAAACCGGGGCUAAUACCGGAUAUUCUUUUUCUUCGCAUGAAGAAGAAUGGAAAGGCGGCUUUUAGCUGUCACUUACAGAUGGACCCGCGGCGCAUUAGCUAGUUGGUGAGGUAACGGCUCACCAAGGCGACGAUGCGUAGCCGACCUGAGAGGGUGAUCGGCCACACUGGGACUGAGACACGGCCCAGACUCCUACGGGAGGCAGCAGUAGGGAAUCUUCCGCAAUGGACGAAAGUCUGACGGAGCAACGCCGCGUGAGUGAAGAAGGUUUUCGGAUCGUAAAGCUCUGUUGUCAGGGAAGAACAAGUACCAAAGUAACUGUUGGUACCUUGACGGUACCUGACCAGAAAGCCACGGCUAACUACGUGCCAGCAGCCGCGGUAAUACGUAGGUGGCAAGCGUUGUCCGGAAUUAUUGGGCGUAAAGCGCGCGCAGGCGGCUUCUUAAGUCUGAUGUGAAAGCCCACGGCUCAACCGUGGAGGGUCAUUGGAAACUGGGAGGCUUGAGUGCAGAAGAGGAGAGCGGAAUUCCACGUGUAGCGGUGAAAUGCGUAGAGAUGUGGAGGAACACCAGUGGCGAAGGCGGCUCUCUGGUCUGUAACUGACGCUGAGGCGCGAAAGCGUGGGGAGCGAACAGGAUUAGAUACCCUGGUAGUCCACGCCGUAAACGAUGAGUGCUAAGUGUUGGAGGGUUUCCGCCCUUCAGUGCUGCAGCUAACGCAUUAAGCACUCCGCCUGGGGAGUACGGCCGCAAGGCUGAAACUCAAAGGAAUUGACGGGGGCCCGCACAAGCGGUGGAGCAUGUGGUUUAAUUCGAAGCAACGCGAAGAACCUUACCAGGUCUUGACAUCCCGCUGACCGGUCUGGAGACAGAUCUUUCCCUUCGGGGACAGCGGUGACAGGUGGUGCAUGGUUGUCGUCAGCUCGUGUCGUGAGAUGUUGGGUUAAGUCCCGCAACGAGCGCAACCCUUGAUCUUAGUUGCCAGCAUUCAGUUGGGCACUCUAAGGUGACUGCCGGUGACAAACCGGAGGAAGGUGGGGAUGACGUCAAAUCAUCAUGCCCCUUAUGACCUGGGCUACACACGUGCUACAAUGGAUGGUACAAAGGGCUGCAAGAC
rnacentral:rRNA from 1 species